rnacentral:rRNA from 1 species
AUUGAACGCUGGCGGCAGGCCUAACACAUGCAAGUCGAGCGGAUGAAGGGAGCUUGCUCCUGGAUUCAGCGGCGGACGGGUGAGUAAUGCCUAGGAAUCUGCCUGGUAGUGGGGGAUAACGUCCGGAAACGGGCGCUAAUACCGCAUACGUCCUGAGGUAGAAAGGGGGGGAUCUUCGGACCUCACGCUAUCAGAUGAGCCUAGGUCGGAUUAGCUAGUUGGUGGGGUAAAGGCCUACCAAGGCGACGAUCCGUAACUGGUCUGAGAGGAUGAUCAGUCACACUGGAACUGAGACACGGUCCAGACUCCUACGGGAGGCAGCAGUGGGGAAUAUUGGACAAUGGGCGAAAGCCUGAUCCAGCCAUGCCGCGUGUGUGAAGAAGGUCUUCGGAUUGUAAAGCACUUUAAGUUGGGAGGAAGGGAAGUAAGUUAAUACCUUGCUGUUUUGACGUUACCAACAGAAUAAGCACCGGCUAACUUCGUG